GCCGAGGUAGCUCAGUUGGUAGAGCAACGGACUGAAAAUCCGUGUGUCGGCGGUUCAAGUCCGCCCCUCGGCACCA
rnacentral:tRNA from 2 species